rnacentral:rRNA from 1 species
UACGUAGGGUCCGAGCGUUGUCCGGAAUUAUUGGGCGUAAAGGGCUCGUAGGCGGUUUGUCGCGUCGGGUGUGAAAACACGGGGCUUAACCCCGUGCCUGCUUCCGAUACGGGCAGACUAGAGGUAUGCAGGGGAGAACGGAAUUCCUGGUGUAGCGGUGAAAUGCGCAGAUAUCAGGAGGAACACCGGUGGCGAAGGCGGGACUCUGGGCCGAUACUGACGCUGAGGAGCGAAAGCGUGGGGAGCAAACAGG